rnacentral:rRNA from 1 species
UACGUAGGUGGCAAGCGUUGUCCGGAAUUAUUGGGCGUAAAGCGCGCGCAGGCGGUCCUUUAAGUCUGAUGUGAAAGCCCACGGCUCAACCGUGGAGGGUCAUUGGAAACUGGGGGACUUGAGUGCAGAAGAGGAAAGCGGAAUUCCACGUGUAGCGGUGAAAUGCGUAGAGAUGUGGAGGAACACCAGUGGCGAAGGCGACUUACUGGACACAUAUUGACGCUGAGGUGCGAAAGCGUGGGGAGCAAACAGG